AGGCUUAACACAUGCAAGUCGAGCGGGGGAAGGUAGCUUGCUACCGGACCUAGCGGCGGACGGGUGAGUAAUGCUUAGGAAUCUGCCUAUUAGUGGGGGACAACAUCUCGAAAGGGAUGCUAAUACCGCAUACGUCCUACGGGAGAAAGCAGGGGAUCUUCGGACCUUGCGCUAAUAGAUGAGCCUAAGUCGGAUUAGCUAGUUGGUGGGGUAAAGGCCUACCAAGGCGACGAUCUGUAGCGGGUCUGAGAGGAUGAUCCGCCACACUGGGACUGAGACACGGCCCAGACUCCUACGGGAGGCAGCAGUGGGGAAUAUUGGACAAUGGGGGGAACCCUGAUCCAGCCAUGCCGCGUGUGUGAAGAAGGCCUUAUGGUUGUAAAGCACUUUAAGCGAGGAGGAGGCUACUUUAGUUAAUACCUAGAGAUAGUGGACGUUACUCGCAGAAUAAGCACCGGCUAACUCUGUGCCAGCAGCCGCGGUAAUACAGAGGGUGCGAGCGUUAAUCGGAUUUACUGGGCGUAAAGCGUGCGUAGGCGGCUUAUUAAGUCGGAUGUGAAAUCCCCGAGCUUAACUUGGGAAUUGCAUUCGAUACUGGUGAGCUAGAGUAUGGGAGAGGAUGGUAGAAUUCCAGGUGUAGCGGUGAAAUGCGUAGAGAUCUGGAGGAAUACCGAUGGCGAAGGCAGCCAUCUGGCCUAAUACUGACGCUGAGGUACGAAAGCAUGGGG
rnacentral:rRNA from 1 species